rnacentral:rRNA from 1 species
CAAAAGAAGUGGGUAGUUUAACCUUCGGGAGGACGCUCACCACUUUGUGGUUCAUGACUGGGGUGAAGUCGUAACAAGGUAGCCCUAGGGGAACCUGGGGCUGGAUCACCUCCUUAAACGAUAGAU